UACAGAGGGGGCAAGCGUUAUUCGGAAUUAUUGGGCGUAAAGGGCGCGUAGGCGGCUUGGCAAGUGGAAGGUGAAAUCCCUCGGCUUAACCGAGGAACUGCCCUCCAAACUGCUUGGCUUGAGACCGGGAGAGGUGAGUGGAAUUCCCAGUGUAGCGGUGAAAUGCGUAGAUAUUGGGAGGAACACCAGUGGCGAAGGCGGCUCACUGGACCGGUACUGACGCUGAUGCGCGAAAGCGUGGGGAGCAAACCGG
rnacentral:rRNA from 1 species